GACGAACGCUGGCGGCGUGCCUAACACAUGCAAGCGGAGCGACGAACCGGACUUCGGUCCGGGGCAAAGCCGCGAACGGGUGAGUAACACGUGGGUAACCUGCCCCGAUGAUUGGGACAACCCGAGGAAACUCGGGCUAAUACCGAAUGUGCCCUACGGUCGCAAGACCGCUGGGAAAGGAAGCUUCGGCCUCCGCAUCGGGAUGGGCCCGCGGCCCAUUAGCUUGUUGGUGAGGUAAAGGCUCACCAAGGCCACGAUGGGUAGCUGGUCUGAGAGGACCGAUCAGCCACACUGGGACUGAGACACGGCCCAGACUCCUACGGGAGGCAGGCAGUGGGGAAUCUUGCGCAAUGCGCGAAAGCGUGACGCAGCAACGCCGCGUGGGGAAGACGGCC
rnacentral:rRNA from 1 species